UGAACAAAACAUUUACAAUAUUUCUCGUUAUCUGUACUAUCAUUAACUUGCGGUUGAGGUGCGGUCUAGCUAAUAACAAUGGGAAUGAUUAUCGAACGAAUAAUUUAAAGGCUGUUCUACUGAUUUGUCCAAUUGAUGGUAGAGAAUCGAACUGUGAGCCGCAGUUGCUCGUCAGUAUUCAUUUUAAGCCAAGCAUAAAUGUGAAGUCUCAAGAUAACCUUCUUAUACUGGACAAAACCUAUGAGCCUUCUAACCGUCAAAACUUUGAAACACUGUCGCCUUACAUAAUAGUAGUAAGCAGGAGUGAGCCAAUUAUAAUACAUCCACUCCUAUUUUCAAAAAUUCAACUAAUAUUUGCAAGCCAUUAAUUUUUAACGGUUAUUCUUGGAAUACAACUGGUAAAUUCACGUUGUCCAAUACAAAUUUGUAUCAAGAAAUAAAGAGCACAACGCGAAAGAGGAAAAUAAACGAGCAAUAUUUUGUCAACACCACUAUUUAUAAUCAGCAACUGAAACACAUUUUAAGCAAUGCUGCUCAGAAUAAUCGUAAUACACGUUUGUAUUCGGUAUACAAGUUAAGCGCUCCAUUUCCCUAUCUGAAGGCCAAAAUACGGAUUUAUAAAAAAAGGAAGAAAACGUGGUGGAUGAUACUGCCAUCAAUUGCUUUUUUGUUGUUGUAAAUGUUUUGCACCAAGAAAAGAAGAUCUCAUUGUUGCAAGUGAAGAGUGGAUUUGUAAUCCAGAACGCGGUUUUGAAAGUUAUUCAAAUGAAAAUGAUAUGAAACCUGUAUGUUCACAUCAAUUUAAAGGAAACUAUCCCACGAAAACGGGCUAUACUGCCACUUCUACAAAUCCGUUAAUGGGAGUGCCAUUUAAAGAUGAUAAUAAAAAUAUGACGAACUUAUUGGAAUCCGCUUUCACUACUCUCACAAAACAACAGAAAGAGAUGAGAAUUCAAUCCAAUGGAAAAGAAUGACGAUAACUUUGAUGAUAAUUAAAAAUAUUUAUUUCAAGUUAAUUUUUAACAGAUCAACUAUUAAUAUUUUCUUUUAGAGUUAAUAUUAUAUAAAGAAAUGUAUUUUGUCAUGUAAUCUUCUAGGCUAGCGCUUACAAGACGCAAUCUGCAACUGCCUUUGUGAAUAUUUCCAAUCAUCAUAAUCAACCAUCAUCGUUUAUAAAGACAUAUGGAGCAAUGAGUCCAUCAGCCCAUAAAGCUCACAAAAAAUUUUUCUGUACAUGUAAUGGUGUUUCGACGAAAGCUUGAGGAUUAUCCACACUCGAAAUGCGUCAGUUCCUUUUAUUUAUGAUAAAUUUCAAAAUUUUGAAAGCAUUCU